rnacentral:rRNA from 1 species
GACGAAGGGGGCUAGCGUUGUUCGGAAUUACUGGGCGUAAAGCGUGUGUAGGUGAUUGUCAUGGUCAGGUGUGAAAGCCCUGAGCUCAACUCAAGAAAUGCACUUGAUACUGGGCAGCUAGAGGACCGGAGAGGUGAGUGGAAUUCCCAGUGUAGCGGUGAAAUGCGUAGAUAUUGGGAGGAACACCAGUGGCGAAGGCGGCUCACUGGACCGGUACUGACGCUGAUGCGCGAAAGCGUGGGGAGCAAACGGG